UGGGGAAAGUUCAGGCCCGGAGAUCUUCCCCCAAGCAAGUGGCCUUUCCGCUCAAGGUAGACAGGCUGGGGAGGUCCACUGAAGUCUUACAGACUUAAAAGGGAAUGCACUGUACGCCUGCAAUCUCAGCAGCUUUGGGUAGUAGGCUCGGACAGAACGUUGAGGAAGGAGGCAUACAUUCUGAAAGACUGGCCCACUCUGGGGAAGACUGGCAUGAGGAGAAAUGACUGAAGGCUCAGGGUGUCUAGAGUCCAGGAGCAGGCUGCUCCAGAAAACUGACAAGAAAUGUCUCUUGAUGCUGGGCUGGCAUCUCGGUAUGGUGGCGGAAACUUUACUGUGGCAACUGCCCAGAAGAGCAAUUUAUGGGCUCUGUGCCGUGCCUAAGCUUCCUGCAUCGCCAGUUUUGCCUCCUUACGGCUAUGGUGAUUGUUCCUUCUGGUUCCUGACUCUUACCUUCAGGAAGUACCCCCGACUACCAGCCACCACGGCUCCCUUUUCGCCUUCAAAGCCAUCCACCAUCACCACCAGGUCCACAUGGGAAUACUUCUUUCUGACUGUACAAUCACCCCAAAUACGCUCUACUUUGUUGUCUGCAUCCUGAGGAAACAAAAUGGAGCAGGGACACAUAGCAGACAGCAGCAGAGCCUUAUCCUGCAUUCAUCAAACCAAGCACCAGCUUCCGGUCUCAUGUACAACCAACCAGGAAGGGAAUUUGCUACUCGACAGAUGAGUAAGUUACAAAGUCACAGAAGCAGUGCUACUCAGUAAACCUGGAACUUCGAUUUG